CUACGGGUUGCAGCAGUGGGGAAUAUUGCACAAUGGAGGAAACUCUGAUGCAGCAACGCCGCGUGGAGGAUGACACUUUUCGGAGCGUAAACUCCUUUUAUAUAGGAAGAAGAUGACGGUACUAUAUGAAUAAGCGCCGGCUAACUCCGUGCCAGCAGCCGCGGUAAUACGGAGGGCGCAAGCGUUACUCGGAAUCACUGGGCGUAAAGAGCGUGUAGGCGGAUUAAAAAGUCAGAAGUGAAAUCCUAUAGCUUAACUAUAGAACUGCUUCUGAAACUCUUAAUCUAGAAUAUGGGAGAGGUAGAUGGAAUUUCUGGUGUAGGGGUAAAAUCCGUAGAGAUCAGAAGGAAUACCGAUUGCGAAGGCGAUCUACUAGAACAUUAUUGACGCUGAGACGCGAAAGCGUGGGGAGCAAACAGGAUUAGAUACCCGGGUAGUC
rnacentral:rRNA from 1 species